GCACGGGCUUCGGCCUGGUGGCGAGUGGCGAACGGGUGAGUAAUAUAUCGGAACGUACCCAGAAGUGGGGGAUAACGUAGCGAAAGUUACGCUAAUACCGCAUACGAUCUACGGAUGAAAGUGGGGGACCUUCGGGCCUCAUGCUUUUGGAGCGGCCGAUAUCUGAUUAGCUAGUUGGUGAGGUAAAGGCCCACCAAGGCGACGAUCAGUAGCUGGUCUGAGAGGACGACCAGCCACACUGGAACUGAGACACGGUCCAGACUCCUACGGGAGGCAGCAGUGGGGAAUUUUGGACAAUGGGCGCAAGCCUGAUCCAGCAAUGCCGCGUGAGUGAAGAAGGCCUUCGGGUUGUAAAGCUCUUUUGUCAGGGAAGAAACGGUUGAGGCUAAUAUCCCCGGCUAAUGACGGUACCUGAAGAAUAAGCACCGGCUAACUACGUGCCAGCAGCCGCGGUAAUACGUAGGGUGCAAGCGUUAAUCGGAAUUACUGGGCGUAAAGCGUGCGCAGGCGGUUUUGUAAGUCUGUCGUGAAAGCCCCGGGCUCAACCUGGGAAUUGCGAUGGAGACUGCAAGGCUUGAAUCUGGCAGAGGGGGGUAGAAUUCCACGUGUAGCAGUGAAAUGCGUAGAGAUGUGGAGGAACACCGAUGGCGAAGGCAGCCCCCUGGGUCAAGAUNGACGCUCAUGCACGA
rnacentral:rRNA from 1 species